UACGGGGGGGGCAAGCGUUGUUCGGAAUUACUGGGCGUAAAGGGCUCGUAGGCGGCCAACUAAGUCAGACGUGAAGUCCCUCGGCUUAACCGGGGAACUGCGUCUGAUACUGGAUGGCUUGAGUUCGGGAGAGGGAUGUGGAAUUCCAGGUGUAGCGGUGAAAUGCGUAGAUAUCUGGAGGAACACCGGUGGCGAAGGCGGCAUCCUGGACCGACACUGACGCUGAUGAGCGAAAGCCAGGGGAGCAAACGGG
rnacentral:rRNA from 1 species